rnacentral:misc_RNA from 1 species
CACCAAUCAAGCCUCGCUUGGUUUUGGGCGAUGCGCACGUCGCACGCCUCAAAUGCCCCGGCCGAGCAGUCUCUCUUCCGGCGUCGUGGAAACAUAUCGCUACGGAGACGAGACCUGCACGUGCCGCAGAAUAAACCAUUUACAAA